UAGGGAAUCUUCCACAAUGGACGCAAGUCUGAUGGAGCAACGCCGCGUGAGUGAAGAAGGUCUUCGGGAUCGUAAAACUCUGUUGUUAGAGAAGAACACGAGUGAGAGUAACUGUUCAUUCGAUGACGGUAUCUAACCAGCAAGUCACGGCUAACUACGUGGCAG
rnacentral:rRNA from 1 species